AGCGAACGCUGGCGGCAGGCCUAACACAUGCAAGUCGAACGGAUCCUUCGGGAUUAGUGGCGGACGGGUGAGUAACACGUGGGAACGUGCCCUUUGGUUCGGAACAACUCAGGGAAACUUGAGCUAAUACCGGAUGUGCCCUUCGGGGGAAAGACUUAUCGCCAUUGGAGCGGCCCGCGUCUGAUUAGCUAGUUGGUGAGGUAACGGCCCACCAAGGCGACGAUCAGUAGCUGGUCUGAGAGGAUGAUCAGCCACACUGGGACUGAGACACGGCCCAGACUCCUACGGGAGGCAGCAGUGGGGAAUCUUGCGCAAUGGGCGAAAGCCUGACGCAGCCAUGCCGCGUGAAUGAUGAAGGUCUUAGGAUUGUAAAAUUCUUUCAGCGGGGACGAUAAUGACGGUACCCGCAGAAGAAGCGCCGGCUAACUUCGUG
rnacentral:rRNA from 1 species